rnacentral:rRNA from 1 species
UGUAUGGUCGUUAACAUUGAUGGUUUUAUACCCAAACCAUCCGCCUGGGAACUACAGGCAAUAGCUUAAAACCCAAAGGACUUGGGGUGCUUUAGACCCCUAGAGGAGCCUGUUCUAGAACUGAUAAGCCCCGUUUAACCACACCAUCCUUUGUUUUCCCCGCCUAUAUACCACCGUCGUCAGCUUACCCUGA